CGAAGCUCCCCCCCUCUCACUCCUUUGCACGCCCACCAGAGGCCGCCUGGGAAGGGGAGCCCCGCGCCACACGGAGGUUCCAGCAGGUGCAAGUACAGAAUAUGUUUAAGUAUAGGCUUGCACACUGAGACUGUGAAAUGUCCUCUCCAGGGCCAUGAAGACACUUCACCUAAAAUUAGGUCUCCUUGGAGAAUUUGACUUGUUACUGGAAGCGAAAUGCUUUAUCAAAAAUAAACAAAGCCAAAACAAAGAAAAGAA